CAUUGCAUAGAUUAAGAGUUUAGGAGUUUGUGUAGAUUUAGAGGAUUAGAAUUCGAGGAGAUCCUGCACAACAAAUCAAAAAUCUUAAGUUCUCUCGCCACACAAAAUCAAAAAUGCAUCGUGAUGAGACGGGAUAAAGCAACGCAACACCAAAACAAAAAAGCAUCGGGGCGAAGCGAAACCGAAUAUAUCUGGACGGGCCAAAUAAAAAUCCUAAACGAUGGGGGCGAGGCGUAGCCAUAUCACACCAAAUCAAAAAUGCAUCGCCACUCCAAAUCAAAAAUCCUAAGAAUACAUCUGGACGGGCCGAGACGAAGAAAAACCACACCAAAUAAAAAAUCAUAAAUGACGGGCGAGGCGUACCAUAUCACACCAAAUCAAAAAUGCAUCGUGACGGGACAGCAAAUCAAAAACGCACAACGGGGCAAGACGAAACCACAUCACACCAUAUCAAAAAUAUGGUUAAAAGAAGAAAAAAAUGAUAAUGGAUGGUUUUCGGGUCCGCCCGGUGCGUAGCACGGGCACAAAAUCUAGUUACUUCCUUAAUUAGAUAACAUUAGGUCUUAAUUAUACAAGAUCUUAGAUAUUAAUUACUAGGGAUAUUAUCAUGAGUGUCAAUACUUUCUUGUUAUAUGGUUAUAAAUCUUUACAAUAUUUUCUUGCUCCAAAUUCUUUUUCAUAGUAUCAUAUUUUUUCUUCUUCUAAAUUUGAGAGUUCUCUUAUAGAUUAUCGCUUGUACAAAUAUUCAUUUUCUUUCUAAGAUAUAUAAGAGUUACGGCAGCUUUGGCCGUUAAACAAGACUUAGAUCGUUACUUGGCUAAGAAAUACGAGGAGAAAAUUUUGGAUACACAAUUUGAACAGCUUCAGAGAAUACAAGAAGCUGAUAACCCAGGGUUUUCGCAGAAUGCUGCAGUUGUUCAUUGAUGAAAUUGAAAAACAAAUAUUAUACAAUAUAAACCCAAUAAAAUAAGUGCAUAUUUUAUUAUUAACAUUAUGACUCUGGUAAUAAAUUUCUUGUUUUAGUUGCUGCAAGAAUUCGUAGCUUAUUUAUGUUUCCGCAGGUUAGAAGAACUUAAUCCCAAAAGUUGAAUACUAUGGUCACCAUCUUAAAGGACGUAGCGUGAGUGUUGGAUCUUACCAAAUCACGCUAGCUUGUUAUGAAUUCUGCCAGGCUAGUGAACGAAAUGACAUGGAUGGCUAGAUGGGAAGAUCUACCAAUUGUCGUCAUCUCCUCGACAAGAUGAUACAUCCAUGUACUUUUCGUCCUCCUCCUCCGAAAACAACUAGUUAAACGUUUAUUCUAUGUUCAUUGCCACUCAUAUGUAUAAUGUUGAAUUUUUAGUUCUAAAGUGGUGACAAUAUUUGGACUUGUCCAAAUUCAAUCAAUAAAAAGCAAAAUGUAGAGUAUUUGAUUAAAUAUUAUAGUAAAUGAGUUCGAGUAAUU